rnacentral:rRNA from 1 species
CAUGUCUAACCGGCCCACUGAAAUUUUUUAAAUGGCCGCAGUAAUUUGACUGUGCAAAGGUAGCAUAAUCAWUAGUUUUUUAAUUGAAAGCUUGWAUGAAGGGUUGGACGAGGUAAAAUCUGUCUCUAAUAAAUUUAAUUUAGAAUUUAACUUUUAAGUUAAAAGGCUUAAAUAAUAUUAAAAGACGAGAAGACCCUAUAGAUCUUUAUAUUUAAAAUAUUAAAUUUAAUUAAGAAUUUUUAAAAUUUUAUUAUUUUAAUUAUUUUAUUGGGGUAAUAUAAAGAUUAAAAUAAUUCUUUUUUUUUAUUUACAUAAAUUUAUGAAUUUGUGAUCCAAUUAUAUUGAUUAUAAGAUUAAGUUACCUUUGGGAUAACAGCGUAAUUUUUUUAGAGAGUUCUUAUCGAUAAAAAAGUUUGAGACCUCGAUGUUGGAUUAAAGAUUAUUUCAGGUGUAGAAGUUUGAAAAUUUUGGUCUGUUCGACMAUUAAAUCUUUACAUGAUCUGAGUUCAGAVCGGUGUAAGCCAGGUCGGUUUCUAUCUUUAAUAAAUUAUAAUAUUUUAGUACGAAAGGACCAAUUWUUUAWUACAAAGWAUUUUAKUUUUDAUUAUWAUUA